AGUGAACGCUGGCGGUAGGCCUAACACAUGCAAGUCGAACGGCAGCACAGUAAGAGCUUGCUCUUACGGGUGGCGAGUGGCGGACGGGUGAGGAAUACAUCGGAAUCUACUUUUUCGUGGGGGAUAACGUAGGGAAACUUACGCUAAUACCGCAUACGACCUACGGGUGAAAGCAGGGGAUCUUCGGACCUUUCGCGAUUGAAUGAGCCGAUGUCGGAUUAGCUAGUUGGCGUGGUAAAGGCCCACCAAGGCGACGAUCCGUAGCUGGUCUGAGAGGAUGAUCAGCCACACUGGAACUGAGACACGGUCCAGACUCCUACGGGAGGCAGCAGUGGGGAAUAUUGGGCAAUGGGCGAAAGCCUGACCCAGCCAUACCGCGUGAGUGAAGAAGGCCUUCGGGUUGUAAAGCUCUGUUGUUGGGAAAGAAAAGCAGUAUGUGAAUACGCCGAUGUUCUGACGGUACCCAAAGAAUAAGCACCGGCUAACUUCGUG
rnacentral:rRNA from 1 species